rfam:Triticum aestivum genome assembly, contig: Triticum_aestivum_CS42_TGACv1_scaffold_271963_3DS
GACUUUAUGAUGACGACCUGAUUUCUUACCUAUUGGCGUGGGCUGGACAUUGAAUACAAUCCAUUGGCGGCUUCCGUUCUUGGAGAUCAACAACUGAUACGAUUAUGCCCAAUGAAUUGUACGCUCAACACCUCAGUUAUGAAA